rnacentral:rRNA from 1 species
AUGUGCUCUGUUCUAAGAGCACAGAGUGGAUCCGUCUUGACUAGCGACCGAACCAGAGCAAGAGACCGAGACGGGACGCAGCGGAAGAUGGCUGCGGCGGCGGCGUGGGACGGCCCAACGGCGGGCGAGCUGAAAGCGGCCGGCGCGGAGGCGAUUCCGGGCGGCGUGCGGGUGAAGGGAUUUGAAGAUAAACUUCAGACGACACAUUUACCUGAGAUGGUGUUUGGAGAGAGUUUUGUGUCUAUUCAGAAUGCUCAAACUGGCGUCAAAUUACAUUUCAAUGCGCUUGAUGCUCUCAAGGCAUGGAAACAAGAGGCAUUGCCACCUGUUCAAGUUCCUGCUGCAGCAAAAUGGAAAUUCAGAAGUAAUCCUGCUGAUCAAGUGGUACUUGACUAUGACUAUACAUUCACGACACCAUACUGUGGGAGUGAUGUGGUUCUGAACCAAGACGCUACGCAAACAACUUUAGAUGAAUGUAGCAAUUUGUGUUGGGAGGACACUGAUGACAGGAUCGACCUUGUUGCCCUUUCUGCAAAAGAACCAAUUCUUUUCUACGAUGAGGUUAUCUUGUAUGAAGAUGAGCUAGCUGAUAGUGGUAUUUCAUUCCUUACAGCGCGAGUGAGGGUGAUGCCAACCGGUUGGUUUCUGCUCUUACGCUUUUGGCUUAGGGUUGAUGGUGCGCUGAUGAGAUUGAGGGAUACCCGUUUACAUUGUUCUUUUGGAAGUAAGGAAGCAAACCCGGUUGUACUGCGUGAACUUUGCUGGAGAGAAGCAACAUUUGCUGCCAUGUCUGCGGAGGGGUAUCCUUCCGAUUCUGCGGCAUACGCAGACCCGAAUCUUGUCGCCCGCAAGCUGCCCGUGGUGAUGCAGAAGACCCAGAAGCUGAAGAUACCCAGUUAA